UGGUGGUACCAUCAUGCUCUGGGGCUGUUUUCCCGCCAGCAGUACUGGUGCAUUACACAAAGUGCAUGGAAUAAUGAAGAAGAAAGAAUACCUCCAAAUUCUUCAAUAUUACUUUACAUAAACAGCUAAGCAGUUCAAGCUUGG